CUUGAUGUAUAUUGUUUAUUCUAAUUAAAGUAUAUUUGAAUUUAAAAUAUGAACUUCAAAUAUCAUUAUUUCUAGCUGAACCAGAAUUUCCUUUGGGACGAGAUGCUUUCCGGACAAACAUUAUUGUAUGCUGAUAUAAUAAUUAACAACCGAUCCUAUGGGCUGAAAUAUGUGUUAAAAGCUUGGAGCAAGACACAUUACGAUCGAUGGCGUUCGCUGACUGAUGCAUUGCUAUUUACUGCUGACUAGCUUAUCCUUUUGUUGCCUCUAAUCAGUGAUGAACACCAAUUAGAAUCAAUCGAUUUAAUUCACAGGAUAUUACGAUUGUUUACAAGGGCCCUAGCACCUGUAGUUUAAGUUAUUCGAUUCGAUUUUUAUUAAAUAACGCCGUUUUUCUUUUUCUGAUCUAUUAUUAGAGCUGUCAAUGUCUUCAUCUUAUAUUUAUUGCUGCGAUGUUUUACUUUAUUUUAUAUAUCAGUUGAGACUAAUUAAUGAAUUUGACAAAUUUACAAG